rnacentral:lncRNA from 1 species
UCUUGAAAUCCAUCAUGCGCGCCGUCGCUGAAUCUAGUCUCUUCUGUCAGCGAUUUUGAUAACACGGAACUAAUCGCCGCAGGACGCCGAAUAGCCUCCCCGGAUCAUCGCCCGAACUCCGUUUCCGGCAGUUCCUGCUUUCUGUCGCCUCUGGGGUUGUGUUUGUUACAACUUUCAACGUCCCCCAGGGCGCCUCCAACACGGGCUAGCCACCCACACUGUGACGGCUGUCGCAUUGUUCGCGCGUAUUUCCUUGGCCUGUUGCUUUUUAAGGCAAUCUAGGCUUUACCAACGUGAUAUUCACGAGAGAAGCUCGUCGACCAGGUAAGGUUUAGUCCUCUCGCUACACCCUGUUUACCCACCCCUCAUGCUAUUCCUAUU